rnacentral:rRNA from 1 species
CCUACGGGGGGCAGCAGUGAGGAAUAUUGGUCAAUGGCCGGAAGGCUGAACCAGCCAUGCCGCGUGAAGGUCAGUGCCCUAUGGGCGUUAAACUUCUUUUGUGCGGGAGCAAUAAUGGUCACGUGUGGCCAGACGAGAGUACCGUACGAAUAAGCAUCGGCUAAUUCCGUGCCAGAAGCCGCGGUAAUACGGGGGAUGCAAGCGUUACCCGGGUUUAUUGGGUUGAAAGGGUGCGUAGGCUGUGAGGUAAGUCAGCGGGGAAAUGCCCCCGCUCAAAGGGGUGAAGUGCUAUUGAUACUGGCUUGCUGGAGUGCGGAUGCCGUGAGAGGAAUGUGUGGUGUAGCGGUGAAAUGCAUAGAUAUCACGCAGAACUCCGAUUGCGAAGGCAGCAUACCGGCGCCCGACUGACGCUGAGGCACGAAAGCGUGGGGAUCGAACAGGAUUAGAUACCCCAGUAGUC